GUUUUUGACUUGAACAGAUCUACUAGUCUCUACGUAGUGAUAGCACCACCUACUGCCACAAAGACUAUCAGUUGAUGCAACUAUGGAGACAGACGAGAGGCCCAAAGCCAAGAUCCGCUGCCUCACCUGCAACAAGAACGUUGGUUUGAUAGGCUUUGACUGCAGAUGUGGAAAUGUAUACUGCGGCAAACACAAAUACUCAGACAGACACAAUUGCACCUUUGACUACAAAGCUGAUGCUUCAGCGAAGUUGAGGAAGGAAAACCCCGUAGUAGUUGGAGAGAAGAUCCAAAAGAUCUGAUGCCAGAUAAAACUGGCAAUCUACUUCUUAUUGU